AUACACGCACCAAGCUCUGACCGCAAGGGAUGAGCGCAUUUAUUAGAACAAAAACCAAUCAGGCUUUGCCUGUUAUUGGUGGAUCUGAAUAACUCAGCUGAUCGCACGGUCUCGCACCGGCGACGCAUCUUCCAAGUGUCUGCCUUAUCAACUUUUGAUGGUAGUUUAUGCGACUACCAUGGUUGUAACGGGUAACGGAGAAUAAGGGUUCGACUCCGGAGAGGGAGCCUGAGAAACGGCUACCACAUCCAAGGAAGGCAGCAGGCGCGCAAAUUACCCAAUCUCAGAACGAGGAGGUAGUGACGAAAAAUAACGAGAUGGUUCUCUUUGAGGCCCAUUAUCGGAAUGAGUACAAUUCAAACCCUUUAACGAGGAUCUACGAGAGGGCAAGUCUGGUGCCAGCAGCCGCGGUAAUUCCAGCUCUCGAAGUGUAUAUCAUUGUUGUUGCGGUUAAAAAGCUCGUAGUUGGAUCUGCGUCUUUGGAGCCGGUCUUCCCAACGGGACAGCACUGGUCUCCUGGACUAGAAUGGCUGGUUUUGCCUUGGUGCUCUUAACCGGGUGCCUUGGCUGACUAGCAAGUUUACUUUGAAAAAAUUAGAGUGCUCAAAACAAGCGUUUGCUUGAAUACUGGUGCAUGGAAUAAUGGAAUAGGACCUCGGUUCUAUUUUGUUGGUUUUCGGAACAUGAGGUAAUGAUUAAGAGGAACAGACGGGGGCAUUCGUAUUGCAGCGCUAGAGGUGAAAUUCUUGGACCGCUGCAAGACGAACAACUGCGA
rnacentral:rRNA from 1 species